AGCACGUCUCGAUAGGUAGGAUUUUAUGACAGAACACCUGUCCCAAGCCCGGAUUAAUGGGGAGGGUUGGCGUCAAGAAAUAGAGACUAUCUUAACUGCAUCACUGAUGUCAAAAUGUGGGAAAUAUGUGGUUGUAUAAAUAAAUGCAUUAAAGUAGGUUAAUGAUUCUGUGCUGUCUAAAUUGUAUAAAAAGUUAGGCUACAUGACGUUUGAAUGGGCUAUACCCGGAUACAUGGACGCAUUAGGCCACUUAAAAUUAAUAAAUUGUUUUACAUGACUCAAACUUCUAAAAUAUUGGUGAGUCGGGGAUUUUAUAUUUUAUAUUUUAUAUUUUUAGCGAAAAGACGAUCGGCAACAGAGAUAUACUAAAACUAGAAAAUUAAACUUUAAUUUGUCAGUAUCUCAACAUUUUAAGCUCUCAACAGUUCAAACAAUUACAAGAAGAGAGAAACCUUCAAAACAAAUGCCUAGUCUAAGUGUUUAAUGGUCUUGCCACAGAAUAGCCCAAUAAAAGCGUCCUCCUGACAAUAGCAAAACAACUGCACUUCCAUUGUUUCAAACAAUAGAAGUGCUGUUGUUUGACCUCAAUGAGGGUCACUAUUAUUGGACCACCCUACAAGAGACUACUUGCUCACAGUGCACAGGAUAUCAGGAUUUGGCACAUUGACGAUCUCUGACAGUUUUUGUCAGUUUUAUAUAAAAUAUAAAAAAAAAUCGAGGCGGCACCAAAAAAUUGAGGCGGGCGGCCAUGUAAAACAAUUUAUUAAUUUUAAGUGGCCUUAUGAGAAUGAGAAAGACGGUGCGUGUACACUAAUUAACCUAUACCCUAUUGACUUAGACAAUACACUGUAAUUUUUGCAACAGAAAUGGAUGAGAUGGGCAGGCAGCUGGAGGUGGAAUUUUUGUCCUUGGUAAAACUCUGACGGUCUCCACACUGGUAACAACGUUGUUUUCUAGGCAUAGAAAAACAAAUCUCCUCCUGUCUGAAAAGGCGUAGAAAACGCAAUUUAGCCACUAAAACUUUACAGUUUUGUGAGGGACAGUCGAAGUCUCUCGUUAAGUUUUUUGUGUUCUUGCACCCCCACUUUAAAACUCGUUUCAGCGCCGCCGCAUAUACGUGUGCGUGUAUGUGCGUAUGUGCGUGUAUGUGUGCGUAUGUGCGUGUAUGUGGCCCGAUUGGUGUUUUGCCCUCAGGCCUUGCAUGCAGUUGUUCCACCGCUGUCUUCCACCAUAACCGAAACGGUGACGUACAUUGGUUUUUGUUGCUAUACUGCGGUUAAUAUUUAGUUUUUUCUAGUAUUACCACACUCUGCUAGGCCGAUGGUGAGUCAAUGCAACGUAAUUUUGCUCUGAUGUGCACUAACCGGUGUAUGUUCUGAAUGGCAAUAAAGUCGAUAUUAUCUUCUAUUCUAUUCUAUUUUAUUCUAUUUAUCAUAUAUGUAAAAAAAAGUUUCUUUUGUGCAUGUCCCAUACCCUACUGUAAAACACAUCAGAAAAUUGACAUAUAACAUGAUAAUUUAAGAAAGCCUUGGUGUGCUUCCUUGUGCAUGCGUACACACACACACACACACACACACACACUGGAACUCCAGUCAGUCAUCGCCGCUAAUUCUGUGAGAAACACUGGGUAUAAAUUAAGAGUGCCCCCCCCCCCACCAACCCGCUGCUGCAGCCUGUUACAUUUUAUUGGCUAAGUAAUGUUGCGAAACUUGUUUUUCAAUUCACAAUUAAAUUAACACUAUAACACAUGUAAAUCACAAAAUUAUUAUUCUAUUUAAAGUUAGGGCAAGCUGUAUAUUUUGUAAUUAUUACAUUUUACUAGGACUGAAACGUGAACUGUUACUGUGUUGCAUGUAUUUUUGUAGUUUCAAAUUACUUCUAUUUAAUUAAAUAAUUUUUUUGCACCAGUAUUUUGAUUUUGUUACAUUUGGUGAGCAAGUAGUUGUAACAAGAUUUUUUGAUGUAUUCUUUCUCUGGCCAUUGAUGAUGGUGGUGAUGAUGAAAGUGACCCUGCUUCAGAAUAACCCAUCAGUUAAAACUGUGUAACAGUUGUGUUAUAAUGUGUAUAAAUGACUUCAUAAAAUACAUACAUUGCUGUUAAUACAAAUGCACUCGUUACCCUGAUUAUCUUGUGCACCCAAGAUAAUUAUAUUGUUCACACAAGGUAAUAACAUAACAUAUUUAAAUAUCUUGUGCAAACAAGGUAAUCAGGGUAUUGAGUACACUGGAAAUGACUGUCAUUGUUCACUUAUGUUUAGCCCGGGAAUACCUUAAAUCCAACAAGUUAUCCAGCUAAAUAAAAAAUCCUGCUUUGUGAUACAGGCCCCUGUAUAUGCUCAAUGACCUUUCAACUGUCUAUCAUUUGUCUCUCACUGCACCAUUUGCAUACUGUCUACCACUGUAUUCUGCAUAUAGUGCUAUUCUGUACACUGUCUUUGUAUAAUUUAUCUUCUGGUUAUACUUUUUAAAAUCCUACCCCCCCCCCCCAUCCAUUUAAUUUAUCUAUAAUCUCAUUUGUGUACAGUGGCAGGAGUAAGCCAGACUUUCAUUUCACUGCAAGUUGUACCAGUUUUUUUGUGCAUGUGACAAGGUCUUUGAAUAUUGUCAUGACAUGUACUGGUGCAGAGAGCAGGAAUCCCAGGAGACAGGAUACAAGGGCAAAUGUUGAAGUUUAAUCAAGUAACCAAAACAAGACCAAAGCACGGGGCACAUACCUUAACAGAAAACAGAAAACAAAGCUCAUGCAGAUCAAAGGGUGGAGCAGAUUGGGCCUCAAGAGCAAUGAGGAUGUUUUCAUUCCAAUCCACACUGCUUUCAACCUGCCACAUUCAUUAUUAGCCAGAGGACCAUCCAGGCCCGAUUUAGGUAGGGUUGGAAUGAAAACAUUCUGGCAGGGGGGGGGAACCAGGAACAGGAUUGAGAACCACUGCCCUUGACAGUGUGCACACUCACAGACUCUGAGGCUUUUUCCUGCCAGUUCCAUGAGGUCUUAGGGCUGUCCCACUGUUAAAUUGUCAAGUGUAUGAAGGCUCUCACAGAUAUUUUGAGCCCUUUAUGCACAUGUUCUAUAAGAAUUUGCCUUUUUGAUGUAUUUGUGCCCAUCUCUAGCCUCUGAUGGGGGUGCACAUGUUGUACACUUCUUAAGUUCGUCUAAUCCUUUAUUGCCAAAGCUGCAAUCGAGUCAGCACUUAGCGUGGAUGCCCGCGUCCGAACACGGGUGCGUUCAGUGUAAGCCGAAUGCUACGCGCUAUCGGAGUCCUGCUAUUCACCGAUUGCCACCUAGUGGUGGGAGUAAAGUAUGUGCACUAAAAGUUACAGUAGUCAGUAGAUUAAAACACUCAAAAUUCAAUGAAAGAGGUGAUCAUCACUUUUAUAUGUUCAAGUGCAUAGUGUGGAGGAUAUCAUAAGGCCUUGGGGCAAUCAGAUGUAAAACACAAUAUUUAUGAGUGUUUUAAGUUGUAAAUCGGUCAGAUUUUACCCGAACACGACAGAAAGGUUAAGUAAAUUAACUUGCGUAGCCUAACAUGACAAAUAAAAUAUUUUGAAGGAGCUGAGAUGCCCGUUUCUCACCCAGAUCCCUACACACAAACAUACAGAAUUGCAAUUUUACCAAAAUUCUUCAGUUUUCUGUGGUAGCCUAUCUAUGUUUUCAGCCUCUAACAGAAAAAAAGGAAUGCAAAUAAAAAUUUAAAACAUAGAGUGACUGAGUGUUGUUUAAAGUUUGGCUUUUGUGGAGGUUAAGGGGUGGUUAUAAAAAGGAGAAGGAGGUUUGGGUAGCAUUAAGGAAACAGCAGAGAUACGCAGAUACAGAUGCGAGGGCAAAACGCAGCAGUGCCCCCCUCCCCCUCACUAAAGGUCAUUAUAAUAACUCCACCCCGUUUUUUGGCGUGAGGCUAAACCACUUUUUCCUCAUUUCAACAGCAGCGGAUGAUAUAUAAAUAGAACAUCAGUAAGGCGUUUAUAACUGAAACUUAGAAGUAAAAUAGCUGGAUGGUUAACUGCUUGUCAGCUGAUAUUUCUUUACCUGCAAAAUAUAAUCGGACAAUAUGAAACGGACACGUUUAUAUGUUUAUGUAGUAGUCUGUAGCCCAGAAGUAGAAGACGCGUCUGAUAUUUGCUAAGCAAAAAGCACGAGAAAAACUUGAGGUGUGGAUAGGAUGAGCCACAAGAAUGACAAAGGCAAGAAUCAUACAUUUGUGUUUGGGUUUAUCUGUUUGUUGUUCGACCAUCCAAAGUUUGAAUGUGACACUAGUUAAUCCUGGGGAGAACAUUAGCAUCGGCUGUGGCAAUGAUACGGAACAAGUUUAUUGGUACCUGCAGCGCUCAGGACGUCCACCGGCGCCGAUACUGCGCUCAUUCGGCAGUGCUGCACCUAGUCCGUAUUACUAUGAUACUGGAUCGCAGAGCAAGUAUGACUUACAAGCCGGCAACAAACUGUUUAUACAUAAUUUUACAACAGAAGAUUGUGCAACAUAUUACUGUGCGGAGCUUCGCGAUGGUGUCUUCAGAUUCUUUAACGGAACCAGACUGAAUGUCACAGGUAAGAUUUUUCUACUUUAUACCGUAAUUAGUUCUUUGGCGAUACUGUAUUCUGAAUAAAAUAAAUAGGUCUAGUCUCAAAGGUUCAAAUAACAGUGUUUUGUUACUGAUGUUCUUAUGAUGUUUUCAUUAAAUUAAUUAAAUUUUAUGAAACCAGCGUGGAACUAAACAGAAAUCUAUAAUUAAAUCUGCAAUUUGCUUAAUAGUUGUUUUUUCCAGACAUGGUCACUGGACAUCAAAAUGUUACUCCUGACACCCAAGUGGAGCAGCGAUGUGGAAUUUUUCGUAAUUCAGUGAUUAUUGCUGCCGUCGUUUUAAAUUUCACGUUGAUCGUUAUAAUCCUAGGUAGGCUUAGGCCAGAGGUAAACGACGUUAUAGUAAUAUCUCUAAAAGCAACAUUUACAUACAUUUUCCAGGAAUCUUUAACAUUUAACAAGAUAAAAAUAUUUCACAGAUAUAAACGAACUUAUAAAUAGACUAUGGAAGUAAAUCAGACCACAAAACUGGCCAGGAGAAGCGAUUGAAAGAUGGAUGGACGAUGACUAAAGAAACCGCGUCUAUUUAUUUCAGUUUUGACAAAGAAACUCUGCACUGCUCUUAACGGCAAACUUUUCCAGAAAGUGGAAGCACGUGAGGAAGAUACAACGUACUGUGUAAUGCAGGUUUUCAAAGAACAGAAUGCAUCAAGCCGUGAAAUAACUGCAUAUGGCGAAGUUCGUCGUCCAAGCGCGUGAGCUGGCCUGCACUGCUUUAAAAGCCUUCUUUGGGCUAUUUCUAUCACUUUGUACAAAUUAUAACUGAGAAUGCAAAACAAAUUCCCAGUGAAAAUGCAUAUUUAACAAAUAAAGAUAAGUUUAGCAGUCUGUUGGAUUUCAUUUCACGAACUAGAGUACUUGAAGUCAAACACAGGAACAGCAGUUUCACUAACCAACAAUAUUUUAUUUUGGUCUGAGCUCAUGUGGUGACUCAGGAACGUUCCGUGGCCAGUGUCUCUUUACUCUGGCUUUAUUUAUUUAAGUUCUUUCCUUCCAUUUUCCUGUUUGUAUCAGUCUCUCAAAUGAUGUUCAAUGUAUCACAACACAUCCAUGUAAAGUGCAUUGGGACGACUCUGUUGUGAAAGGCGCUAUAUAAAAUUGAAUUGAAUUGUGCAGGAGCUAUUCAGUGUUUGGCAGAUACUACCUGGUCAUCUAUACCACCCUUGAGAAAGUCAGUCCCUACAGUCCCUCUGCUCCAUCUUCAUUCUCCAGUCGCACUGUCCUCCUUGUGACACCAUCUUCGUAGAGUCCAGCGCAGCCCUUCUGCAUAAAUACGGAGUGGGACUAUCAACCCACAUUUUGUUUUUGUGCCCUGGAUUCUGUUGUAAAUAACCUUGCUCAUUAUGUUUUCUUGUAUCUCUGUUUGGACCCUUGUUUUGCACCUUCGUUAUCCCUGAUCCAGUUUUGUAGUACGUUCUGUUCCCACAUUCUAGUAUCUCCUUGUGCUUGUCCCCUUAUUAUUUGUUUAUUACCCUCACCUGUUCAUCAUUGCCCCUACUCUCUUGUGUUUGUGGUUGGUUAGUAAUAGCCCGCACUUGUCCCUUGUUUAAGCCCUCAUUACCUCUGUAUUUAAGUGUCUGCCCUUCCCCUAUGCAUCUGUCAGUCAUUGUGUUUUGUUCCUGUGUGGUCUUUGUUGAGCUUUUAUGUGUUGCAUUGCAGUUUUUCUGAAUGUGUAUGUUUCCCUUGAGUUCUUGUUUUCUUUACUGCCGUUGUUUUGACCCUUCAUGGUUUACUUUUGUCUGUGAGUUCAUUUUAAAAUAAACUCUCCUUUCAGCAUAAGCCGCAGUGUGGAUCGUCCACCUAUCAUGCCCCGUCACCAUAAAAAUAUUUCUGUUUUUGUGUUCCGGUACGGUGGAACAGAAAUGUCAGCGAGCAUUUACACCAAACUUCUCGUUCCUGUUUCAUUAGCAUGUUACAAUCUAAAAAGGCAGUUUCAGGGUUUGGGUAAUAAAAGAUAUACGACAACAGCACAAAAUGCAUGUUUUGUGUAGAUCCCUGCAAGAGUGCUGGAAAGAGUGAUACGGAAUGCUGUGGAUCCGUGUUUUCUUCAUUCCCUGUUAUUUUAUUUUCACUCUUCUGUCUUAAUGGUUUAUAAUCUUGCCUUUUGAACUGUUGAUGAAUCACACAGAUAGAUUUGAAAUAAAGAAAAAUAAAGCA